UUAGUAAAUUUAUCUUUAUAUAUCUAUUAGUUCCGAGCUAUUACAAGAUAGUUAUGAUAAUUGGGUGAAUUGCAAGAAAGACUUAUUUUAUAUAUUUCUAAUUAUUUUUAAGUUAAUUUGCAGCCUAGCUUACUAAGUGUUAUAAAAUAGUAAGAAGGUUCAACGACUAAUUGUUGAGUUAACACAAGCAAUAAUACAAACAAGAGUGCCCAACUACUUUAUUAAUUUAUAUUUAAAUAUUUUAAAAAGUAGAUGACAUAGUCUAAGCUUAUUAGUAAUAAUAAG
rnacentral:ncRNA from 1 species